rnacentral:rRNA from 1 species
GCUAGACCUAAACACAGGUGCUGCGAUGGCCGUCGUCAGCUCGUGUCGUGAGAUGUUGGGUUAAGUCCCGCAACGAGCGCAACCCUCGUCCUUAGUUGCCAGCGGUUCGGCCGGGGAACUCUAAGGAGACUGCCUGCGUAAGCGGGAGGAAGGUGGGGAUGAUGUCAGGUCACUCACCGGCCCUUAUGCCUUGGGCAACACACGUGCUACAAUGGGAUAUACAGAAAGCUGCAAUACCGCGAGGUGGAGCCAAUCUCUAAAAUAUCUCUCAGUUCGGAUUGUAGUCUGCAACUCGACUACAUGAAGUCGGAAUCGCUAGUAAUCGUAGAUCAGCUAUGCUACGGUGAAUACGUUCCCGGGUCUU